rnacentral:rRNA from 1 species
AUGCAACAUCAAAGAUUGAUUCUAAUUGAUUGGCAUUUUCAAGAAGCUGCUCGUUUGGACAACUGCAUGGUUUAUGAUGAGGAUGAUGACAACUUCGGUUUCAAGACCCUGAAGAAGUGUUACCUCUUGAAGUUUACCUUCGUAGGGCUGUGGAUUGGAUUGACGACGUGGAUACAACCUUCUGAGUCAGAUGCUGGAGGACGUGGUGGACUGUCGAUCUGCUCCACAGCCCGGCAGGUGGCAGUGCAGACGAGCGUCGCCGGCUCAAGAGGAUUUGAUGAUGUCCAGGGCAUGGAUGAGGCCAAGCAGGAGCUUCUUGAGGUGAAUAUGCAUAACUUUUUUGAGGUUUUGUGCACAUGCCGAAGGAAGAAGCUUGAACAUCCAUUUCCCGGUGCACUAAUAAUCAAUACUAGUUGCUCAUGCUAG